CUUAACACAUGCAAGUCGAGGGGUAACAUUGGUGCUUGCAUCAGAUGACGACCGGCGCACGGGUGCGUAACGCGUAUAGAACCUACCUUUUACAGAGGAAUAGCCUUUAGAAAUGAAGAUUAAUGCCUUAUAGUAUUAAAUAAUCGCAUGAUUAUUUACUUAAAGAUUUAUCGGUAAAAGAUGGCUAUGCGUCCUAUUAGUUAGAUGGUAAGGUAACGGCUUACCAUGACAUCGAUAGGUAGGGGUCCUGAGAGGGAGAUCCCCCACACUGGUACUGAGACACGGACCAGACUCCUACGGGAGGCAGCAGUGAGGAAUAUUGGGCAAUGGAGGCAACUCUGACCCAGCCAUGCCGCGUGCAGGAAGACGGCCCUAUGGGUUGUAAACUGCUUUUAUACAGGAAGAAACACUAGUACGUGUACUAGCUUGACGGUACUGUAAGAAUAAGGACCGGCUAACUCCGUGCCAGCAGCCGCGGUAAUACGGAGGGUCCGAGCGUUAUCCGGAAUCAUUGGGUUUAAAGGGUCCGCAGGCGGUCAAUUAAGUCAGAGGUGAAAUCCCAUAGCUUAACUAUGGAACUGCCUUUGAUACUGGUUGACUUGAGUCAUAUGGAAGUAGAUAGAAUGUGUAGUGUAGCGGUGAAAUGCAUAGAUAUUACACAGAAUACCGAUUGCGAAGGCAGUCUACUACGUAUGUACUGACGCUCAUGGACGAAAGCGUGGGGAGCGAACAGGAUUAGAUACCCUGGUAGUCCACGCCGUAAACGAUGGAUACUAGUUGUUGGGCAUUAGCUCAGUGACUAAGCGAAAGUGAUAAGUAUCCCACCUGGGGAGUACUGGUCGCAAGACUGAAACUCAAAGGAAUUGACUGGGGGCCCGCACAAGCGGUGGCAGCAUGUGCUUUAAUUCGAUGAUACGCGAGGAACCCUUACCAGGCUUAAAUGUAGUAUGACAGGUUUAGAGAUAGACUUUUUCUUCGGACAUAUUACAACGGUGCCUGCAUUGCUGUCGUUCAGCUCGAUGCCGUGAGUGUCCAGUACAGGUUACUAGAUAACGGAGUCAUCCCUGUCGUAGCUGGCAAGCCAAGCUAAACACGUUGGGGGGGGA
rnacentral:rRNA from 1 species